AGAGUUUGAUCAUGGCUCAGAACGAACGCUGGCGGCGCGUUUUAAGCAUGCAAGUCGAACGGUAGAAAGGUGCUUGCACCUUUUGAGAGUGGCGAACGGGUGAGUAACACGUAGAUAAUCUGUCUUUAUAUUGGGGAUAGCUCAUGGAAACAUGGGGUAAUACCGAAUAAUCUUUAGGGAUCGAUAGGGGACCUAAAGGAAAGGUGCUUAGGGAUCGUAUAAAGAUGAGUCUGCGGUUCAUUAGCUAGUUGGUGGGGUAAUGGCCUACCAAGGCGACGAUGAAUAGCCGGCCUGAGAGGGUGGACGGCCACACUGGGACUGAGACACGGCCCAGACUCCUACGGGAGGCAGCAGCUAAGAAUCUUCCGCAAUGGGGGGAACCCUGACGGAGCGACGCCGCGUGAGCGAAGAAGGCGGAAACGUUGUAAAGCUCUUUUCUUGAGGAGGAAUAAGCCUGGCAGGUAAUGGUCAGGUGAUGACGUUAAUCAAGGAAUAAGCCCCGGCUAAUUACGUGCCAGCAGCCGCGGUAACACGUGAGGGGCGAGCGUUGUUCGGAAUUAUUGGGCGUAAAGGGCGCGUAGGCGGUUUUAAAAGUCUGGUGUGAAAGACCUCAGCUUAACUGAGGGGCCGCGCUGGAAAACUGUAAGACUGGAAUCUAGGAGGGGAAGCUGGAAUUCCUGGUGUAGGGGGUGAAAUCUGUAGAUAUCAGGAAGAACACCGGUGGCGAAGGCGAGCUUCUGGCCAUAGAUUGACGCUGAGGCGCGAAAGCGUGGGGAGCGAACAGGAUUAGAUACCCCUGGUAGUCCACGCCGUAAACGAUGUGCACUAGGUGUUGGGGGAUAGGAUCCUCAGUACCGAAGCAAACGCGAUAAGUGCACCGCCUGGGGAGUAUGCCGGCAACGGUGAAACUCAAAGGAAUUGACGGGGGCCCGCACAAGCGGUGGAGCAUGUGGUUUAAUUCGAUGAUACGCGAGGAACCUUACCAGGGCUUGACAUAAUAUUGACCGCAUUGGAGACAAUGUAUUCCCUUCGGGGACAGUAUUACAGGUGCUGCAUGGUUGUCGUCAGCUCGUGCUGUGAAGUGUUGGGUUAAGUCCCGCAACGAGCGCAACCCCUGCUGUCUGUUGCCAACAGGUUAAGCUGGGAACUCAGACGGUACUGCCGGUGACAAACCGGAGGAAGGUGGGGAUGACGUCAAAUCAUCAUGGCCCUUAUGUCCUGGGCUACACACGUGCUACAAUGGCCGGUACAGAGUGACGCGAAACCGCGAGGUGGAGCAAAUCGCAUAAAGCCGGUCUCAGUACAGAUUGAAGUCUGAAACUCGACUUCAUGAAGGUGGAAUCGCUAGUAAUCGCGCAUCAGCAUGGCGCGGUGAAUACGUUCCCGGGCCUUGUACACACCGCCCGUCACACCACCCGAGUUGGGGGUACCCGAAGUCGCUAGUCUAACCAUUUAUGGGGGACGGUGCCGAAGGUAUGCCUGGUAAGGGGGGUGAAGUCGUAACAAGGUA
rnacentral:rRNA from 1 species